rnacentral:sRNA from 1 species
UUGGACAACCGACGACGACAGUGGGCCAAAGGCGAAUGGAAGCGGAGGGAAAACGGAACGCGUUUGUCCGGCAAGCGGAUUUCAGAUACCCCAUUGAAGUGAUAGAAGGGCAUUCAAAACCAGUUGGUUUCGUUGGUUCUGCAGCUGCCAGUUUUUUUCACAUGGAGUAUGAAGAGCGAGUGGUUUGAAUGGAAAUGAUUAUGGCACUCAAGAGAGUCAUCAAAGAGAGUUACCCAAGACUUGGCUAUUAACAAAAUGCAAGAGAUGGCCAGGUGGUUAUGAAAUCCCAACGGACAUACAAAACAAAUGAAAAGAAUAAAAACUGAUUAACUGAACAAUAA